UCCUUGUUAUCGAGCUCCACUCUGAUACUGCUCCAUCCUUGGCUGAUAGCAUUUAGUAACGCGAGUCUCACUGCUACCGCUUGAUCUUGAAUUGGCUCAGUUGAUAGUCUUUCUCUUAGUGCCCAGCCCGCUUGGAUUUGUCCCAUAGAGUCAGUUGCAGUGAUUCCAAUCCCUACUAUUGCUUGACUUUUGUCUUGAUGUGUAUGAAUCUUGAUCAUUAGGCUGGUAUGGCUCUC
rnacentral:lncRNA from 1 species